AUCCCAUGAUGAGAACACUUACUAAGUAACUCCUUGAAUUGCUCCCAAGCCUCAUACAAAGACUCGUCAUCCAAUUGUUGGAAAGUUGUGUUCUCGUCCUCAACUU
rnacentral:snoRNA from 1 species